UAUUCCAGCAGCCGCGGUAAUACGUUCCCGGGCCUUGUACACACCGCCCGUCACACCACGAGAGUUGGUAACACCCGAAGUCGGUGAGGUAACCUUUUAGGAGCCAGCCGCCGAAGGUGGGAUCAAUGAUUGGGGUGAAGUCGUAACAAGGUAGCCGUAUCGGAAGGUGCGGCUGGAUCACCUCCUUUCUAAGGAUAAUUGGAACUACUACUUCGUAGUAGACAUCGUGAUUGGUUGUUUGUUCAGGUUUGAGAGAUCAAUCUCUCUUGUGAACC
rnacentral:misc_RNA from 1 species